rnacentral:rRNA from 1 species
UGGGGAAUCUUCCGCAAUGGACGAAAGUCUGACGGAGCAACGCCGCGUGAGUGAAGACGGCCUUCGGGUUGUAAAGCUCUGUGAUCCGGGACGAAAGAGCCUGAGGGGAAUAGCCUAAGGAAGUGACGGUACCGGAAAAGCAAGCCACGGCUAACUACGUGCCAGCAGCCGCGGUAAUACGUAGGUGGCAAGCGUUGUCCGGAAUUAUUGGGCGUAAAGCGCGCGCAGGCGGCUUCCUAAGUCCAUCUUAAAAGUGCGGGGCUUAACCCCGUGAUGGGAUGGAAACUGGGAAGCUGGAGUAUCGGAGAGGAAAGUGGAAUUCCUAGUGUAGCGUUGAAAUGCGUAGAGAUUAGGAAGAACACCGGUGGCGAAGGCGACUUUCUGGACGAAAACUGACGCUGAGGCGCGAAAGCGUGGGGAGCAAACAGG